ensembl:snRNA LOC120093390 U1 spliceosomal RNA
AUACUUACCUGACUUGGGAGAAAACAUGAUCACAAAAAGUGGUUUUCCCAGGGCGAUGAAUAUCCAUUGCACUCCAGAUAUGCUGAACCCUGCGAUUUCCCCAAAUGCGGUAGUGGAGGACUGUGUUCACACUCUCCCCAG